rnacentral:rRNA from 1 species
AGUGAACGCUGGCGGUAGGCCUAACACAUGCAAGUCGAACGGCAGCACAGUAAGAGCUUGCUCUUACGGGUGGCGAGUGGCGGACGGGUGAGGAAUACAUCGGAAUCUACUUUUUCGUGGGGGAUAACGUAGGGAAACUUACGCUAAUACCGCAUACGACCUACGGGUGAAAGCGGGGGAUCUUCGGACCUUGCGCGAUUGAAUGAGCCGAUGUCGGAUUAGCUAGUUGGCGGGGUAAAGGCCCACCCAGGCGACGAUCCGUAGCUGGUCUGAGAGGAUGAUCAGCCACACUGGAACUGAGACACGGUCCAGACUCCUACGGGAGGCCGCAGUGGGGAAUAUUGGACAAAGGGCGCAAGCCUGAUCCAGCCAUACCGCGUGGGUGAAGAAGGCCUUCGGGUUGUAAAGCCCUUUUGUUGGGAAAGAAAAGCAGCAGGUUAAUACCCCGCUGUUCUGACGGUACCCAAAGAAUAAGCACCGGCUAACUUCGUG